rnacentral:rRNA from 1 species
UAACGGCUCACCAAGGCGACGACGGGUAGCCGGCCUGAGAGGGCGACCGGCCACACUGGGACUGAAACACGGCCAAUACUCCUACGGGAGGCAGCAGUGGGGAAUCUUGCGCAAUGGGCGAAAGCCUGACGCAGCGCCGCCUCGUGGGGGAUGAAGGCCUUCGGGUUGUAAACCCCUUUCAGCAGGGACGAAGCGAAAGUGACGGUACCUGCAGAAGAAGCGCCUGCUAACUACGUGCCAGCAGCCGCGGUAACACGUAGGGCGCGAGCGUUGUCCGGAAUUAUUGGGCGUAAAGAGCUCGUAGGUGGUCCGCCACGUCCGCUGUGAAAACCCAGGGCUUAACCCUGGGCUUGCAGUGGAUACGGGCAGACUAGAGGUAGGUAGGGGAGAAUGGAAUUCCCGGUGUAGCGGUGAAAUG